UACAGGGGGGGCAAGCGUUGUUCGGAAUUACUGGGCGUAAAGGGUCUGUAGGUGGCCAACUAAGUCAGACGUGAAAUCCCUCAGCUUAACUGGGGAACUGCGUCUGAUACUGGAUGGCUUGAGUGUGGGAGAGGAAUGCGGAAUUCCAGGUGUAGCGGUGAAAUGCGUAGAUAUCUGGAGGAACACCGGUGGCGAAGGCGGCAUCCUGGACCGGCAUUGACGCUGAGGCGCGAAAGCCAGGGGAGCAAAGCGGG
rnacentral:rRNA from 1 species